rnacentral:lncRNA from 1 species
ACUGUUAAAUUCACAUGGAAAAGCUCUCAGAAAUUGGCUUCAAAUAUGGUCAAUGAACAACUCCCAGCAUUGAAGCUGAAGUCCUUGUUAUCUGAAAGCAUAUACAAAGUACAAGCUGCUAUCAUGAAGCCAGUAAAAGAAGGCUAUAUAUUUUUUCUUCAUUGCUUUGUCUCACUUUACAGCAUCAAAUGAGGUAAUUCUAAUGCUACCCUACUAUACUUUUUCUCUAGCAGUUUGUUCUUUUUCUUUGCUUCUCCUUUUAGUUUGUUUAGUAUUUUAGGAUCAUCCAAUACUUUUGCUGCUUUUUCCCUAUAUUAUAUAACCUAAAAAUGAAGAAAAAAAAAGUUUAUGGGUGAAGAAAAGGGAACACAACUCGUGAUGAGAUGUUGGUUUUUUAUAUGCCUACUUUGAUCUACUGUUGGUUCAUUUAAUUCAAUACGCAUGUUUUUCUGCUUUAAUGUUUGCUUGAUCAAGAUUCAAGAAACAUUCAAAGUCAUUUUAUUUGCAAUAUUGCAAGCAAAAUACUGUUGGGAGUUCAAAUUGCAGUCUGGUCUUUUAUUUGGUGGAUCUUGAUAAAGAAUCAGGUUAGGAGUACUUCUCAAUGCAUUAGUUAAGAUAUUUUUGGUGUCUGCAUAUGAAAAAUCAGGAGAUUUUUGCAGACUGGGAUGCAAAAUUAUGAUCAUGCCAUUUCUUGCAAUAUUUUGUGUAUGAUGUCUAGAUUCAGAUGAAGGUAAAUCCAAAUUUGGAGAACAUGUUUUGGUAGAGUGAUCUUUGAUUGGGUUUUAGGAGGCUGGGAGGUAGCUAAGCCCCUGAGCUGCGCACCAACCCGCUUUCUUCAGUCCCCCAUUUUGGAACAGAGAUCCUGCUUACCAUUGUCUCUAUACAUCCGCAAGUAUUUCAUGAUUCCCGGAACUUAACUUUUGCCGACAAAGCAAUAGAUAGGAUUUGCAACAGAAUAUAAUAAGGCAAUCAUUGGUUCUACAGAUAUGCCUCGAUUAGUAGGAUUUGCUAUAAGUCAUUUUUAAUUACAAUUUAUCUGUCAAAAGUUUUGGACACAAUCAUAAGAAUUAAACCUUGAUUGGCAUUCAGAACAAGCCACAAAUAGCAGUAUUCAGAACAAGCCACAAAUAGCAGUAUUUAAGAUCGUGCUAGUCAGUGAGAGAUUCUGUUUAACUAGUUCUCUGAUCCAUCGACUCUAUAAUUGCUGCCAAAAUACAGCAAAAUUCCAUAACUUUACAAGCUAAGGAAGCUUAUCAUAUGAAUCAAACAACUUGAAAAGGAUAUGAUAUAGUCUAAUAGCCGGCAGCCAAGCCACCACCAACACUUUCAGAAAUAUGGUCAGUCUGUUUCAAAGCACUUUCUUUUAGGUCUGUGAAAGUACUAGAUACACAGAUCGUACAAAGGUAAUGGCACAUAUAAGAGAGUCAAGGUAUUUUGUUGACUAUGAUAAGGAUAUUAUGGCAAUGGGACAAAUGAGAACUUGGAAGGAAUAAUUGGAGUGACCGGUGAAAUCCUACUCACUGAUCUAGUCAUGCUUAGCCAAGGCAAGGUGGCUGUAUGUAGUGUCAUCUAUGGCAACUGGCAAGGCAUCUACU